AGAGUUUGAUCCUGGCUCAGGAUGAACGCUAGCUACAGGCUUAACACAUGCAAGUCGAGGGGCAGCAUGGUCUUAGCUUGCUAAGGCCGAUGGCGACCGGCGCACGGGUGAGUAACACGUAUCCAACCUGCCGUCUACUCUUGGACAGCCUUCUGAAAGGAAGAUUAAUACAAGAUGGCAUCAUGAGUCCGCAUGUUCACAUGAUUAAAGGUAUUCCGGUAGACGAUGGGGAUGCGUUCCAUUAGAUAGUAGGCGGGGUAACGGCCCACCUAGUCUUCGAUGGAUAGGGGUUCUGAGAGGAAGGUCCCCCACAUUGGAACUGAGACACGGUCCAAACUCCUACGGGAGGCAGCAGUGAGGAAUAUUGGUCAAUGGGCGAGAGUCUGAACCAGCCAAGUAGCGUGAAGGAUGAAGGUUCUAUGGAUUGUAAACUUCUUUUAUACGGGAAUAAACGAAUCCACGUGUGGAUUUUUGCAUGUACCGUAUGAAUAAGGAUCGGCUAACUCCGUGCCAGCAGCCGCGGUAAUACGGAGGAUCCGAGCGUUAUCCGGAUUUAUUGGGUUUAAAGGGAGCGUAGAUGGGUUGUUAAGUCAGUUGUGAAAGUUUGCGGCUCAACCGUAAAAUUGCAAUUGAUACUGGCAGUCUUGAGUACGGUAGAGGCAAACGGAAUUUCUAGUGUAGCGGUGAAAUGCGUAGAUAUUAGAAGGAACACCAGUGGCGAAAGCGGUUUGCUGGGCCGUUACUGACGCUGAGGCACGAAAGCGUGGGGAGCAAAUAGGAUUAGAUACCCUAGUAGUCCACGCCGUAAACGAUGAGUACUAAGUGUUGGGGUUUCCCAGUGCUGAAGCUAACGUAUUAAGUACUCCGCCUGAGUAGUACGGUCGCAAGGCUGAAACUCAAAGGAAUUGACGGGCACCCGCACAAGCGGUGGAGCAUGCUGUUUAAUUCGAAGAUACGCGAAGAACCUUACCUAGACUUGACAUCCCUGGCAAAGCUAUAGAAAUAUAGUGGAGGUUACCCAGGUGACAGGUGGUGCAUGGUUGUCGUCAGCUCGUGUCGUGAGAUGUUCGGUUAAGUCCGCUAACGAGCGCAACCCUUAUCCUUAGUUGCUAACAUUUAGUUGAGAACCCUAAGGAGACUGCCGGUGACAAACCGGAGGAAGGUGGGGAUGACGUCAAAUCAUCAUGCCCCUUACGUCUAGGGCUACAGGCGUGCUAUAAUGGCUGGUACAAUGAGACGCAAUACUGUGAAGUGGAGCAAAUCUAUAAAGCCAGUCUCAGUUCGGAUUGAAGUCUGCAACUCGACUUCAUGAAGCUAGAAUCGCUAGUAAUCCCAAAUCAGAAUGUUGGGGUGAAUACGUUCCCGGGUGUUGCACUCACCGCCCGUCAAG
rnacentral:rRNA from 1 species